rnacentral:lncRNA from 1 species
GAUGUUGACCCAAGAGAAUAGAAAACUAUCAUGCGGCCAAUUAGAAAAGGGAGGAGGAGGUCACUUUGGCAUAUAAAUAUAAGAAGCAGCUCCACAAGCAAAAGGAAGUUGGAGAUGAGGAUUCACAUGACGGCACAUAAAAUUCACGUUUUGUGAAUUGAAAACAUUCACGCAUCACGAGAAGGGAAGAAGGCAUAUGGAUAGGGAAAAACUCAUAAUCAAUAGCGAUUGAAAGAAUUGAGGAGCAACG